GCAAGUCGAGCGAAUGGAUUGAGAGCUUGCUCUCAAGAAGUUAGCGGCGGACGGGUGAGUAACACGUGGGUAACCUGCCCAUAAGACUGGGAUAACUCCGGGAAACCGGGGCUAAUACCGGAUAACAUUUUGAACUGCAUGGUUCGAAAUUGAAAGGCGGCUUCGGCUGUCACUUAUGGAUGGACCCGCGUCGCAUUAGCUAGUUGGUGAGGUAACGGCUCACCAAGGCAACGAUGCGUAGCCGACCUGAGAGGGUGAUCGGCCACACUGGGACUGAGACACGGCCCAGACUCCUACGGGAGGCAGCAGUAGGGAAUCUUCCGCAAUGGACGAAAGUCUGACGGAGCAACGCCGCGUGAGUGAUGAAGGCUUUCGGGUCGUAAAACUCUGUUGUUAGGGAAGAACAAGUGCUAGUUGAAUAAGCUGGCACCUUGACGGUACCUAACCAGAAAGCCACGGCUAACUACGUGCCAGCAGCCGCGGUAAUACGUAGGUGGCAAGCGUUAUCCGGAAUUAUUGGGCGUAAAGCGCGCGCAGGUGGUUUCUUAAGUCUGAUGUGAAAGCCCACGGCUCAACCGUGGAGGGUCAUUGGAAACUGGGAGACUUGAGUGCAGAAGAGGAAAGUGGAAUUCCAUGUGUAGCGGUGAAAUGCGUAGAGAUAUGGAGGAACACCAGUGGCGAAGGCGACUUUCUGGUCUGUAACUGACACUGAGGCGCGAAAGCGUGGGG
rnacentral:rRNA from 1 species